rnacentral:rRNA from 1 species
CGGGUGAGUAACACGUGGGUAACCUACCCAUCAGAGGGGGAUAACACUUGGAAACAGGUGCUAAUACCGCAUAACAGUUUAUGCCGCAUGGCAUAAGAGUGAAAGGCGCUUUCGGGUGUCGCUGAUGGAUGGACCCGCGGUGCAUUAGCUAGUUGGUGAGGUAACGGCUCACCAAGGCCACGAUGCAUAGCCGACCUGAGAGGGUGAUCGGCCACACUGGGACUGAGACACGGCCCAGACUCCUACGGGAGGCAGCAGUAGGGAAUCUUCGGCAAUGGACGAAAGUCUGACCGAGCAACGCCGCGUGAGUGAAGAAGGUUUUCGGAUCGUAAAACUCUGUUGUUAGAGAAGAACAAGGACGUUAGUAACUGAACGUCCCCUGACGGUAUCUAACCAGAAAGCCACGGCUAACUACGUGCCAGCAGCCGCGGUAAUACGUAGGUGGCAAGCGUUGUCCGGAUUUAUUGGGCGUAAAGC